UAAAAAGGAGGUUGGAGAUAUUUCCCAUUACGCACCAACAAAAGAACGUGUAAAUGAGUGGAGUGAAAUUUUAGGUGUACAGUUGACAGUAACUAGUUUUGUGUGUGAAAGACAUUUCUGAUCCCAAGACGUACUCGAGCCCGAAUUAUUGGUAAAUGUUUUUAAUAAAAAAUUAAAACUAUUAGUACCUAAUGCUUUGCCAGUGCCAAUGAAUGAGGUGCCUGUAUUGAGUACAUGUGAAGAUCAAUUCAUAAGUCCAAUAGAGAUUGAAGCUGCUGAACAGUCGUCGUCAGAAAAAAAAACAAUGUAAAAGGUUGCCGAAAAGAGAGAAAUUGUAAUACAACUAAGAAGAAAAAUGUUAGAGAUUGAAAGAAAUCGUCAACUUCAACUAGCUUUGAAACCAUCUGGAGUUCCAAACACUAAGAAUAAUAUUUAAAUAUUUAUAUAUUAUGCAUUGUAUUUGCUAAUUUUAAGUAUAUUUAUUAGACAAUUGUAUUUUUAUUUUAGUUAAUUUAUAAAAAAAAGUUUAAAAUUGUAUUAUUUGUACUACAACGUUUGAGAUACAAAUUAUAAGAACUUAAUGUAUUAAUUAUUAACAUUAAAUUGGGACAAAAAUAAUAAGAAAUAAAUAUUUCAAUAUUGUUAAAUAGCUUCACCAGCAUCUUAUGAAUAAUAUUAUGUGAUAUUUCACUACAUUUGAUUUUCGAAAAAUCCAUAGAACCUAAAAAAAUGUAAUCUAUUAGUAACAUAAAAAAAUAAAUGUAAAAUGACUUAUUGCAUAAUAUAAACAUUUUAAUUGUAAGAUUAUAUGUACAUUUCGGACAAGAACUAACGAUAAAACUAUAACCAAGAUAAAUUGCUUUUAUAUUAUACUAUAAUUUUUAAACUAUAUUGUUUUUAGUCAACCAAACUUAGAUUUUCAAUAGCCACUUAAUGUAGCUAUUAUAGUCAGAUAACAAAAUUAAGUAAUGCAUUUGAAUAACUGAAAAUUUUACCGACUCAAAAGGUUAAGGAAUUAAAUGUUUUUUAAGUUAAUACCUAUAAAUAUAAAUAAAGUAAGACCAAGUAUAAUUAUCAAUUAUGUUUAUCUUUUAUACACCUAUAGUUUUUAACAAUUGUGUCGAAAGAUUGAUUAAUUUUCCAAAAGUUAAUUAUCUUUACUUCGGAAAACAGCUUUUAUAUUCUUGAUAGUAAUUUUUCUUUUCUAAUAACUAGUUUUACAUUUUUUUUUUAAAUUUCACGCAUAAUAUUGAAUGUAUUGAUUACAGUUUAUGAAAUAUUAGAUAAACCUAACACAUUUAUAGGAGAUAGUGGUUCAUUUUAACAAACUUGGACACUAUUUUUAAUUUAUGAAAAAUAAUAAAGAAUCAUAUGAAUUUAA